GUCCAUGGCCAUACCACCCUGAAAGCACCCAAUCUUGUCUGAUCUCAGAAGCUAAGCAGGGUCAGGCCUGCUUAGUACUUGGGUUGGAGAAUAUCCUUUGCUUAAAACA
ensembl:rRNA 5S_rRNA 5S ribosomal RNA